UGAGUAACACGUAUCCAACCUGCCGUCUACUCUUGGACAGCCUUCUGAAAGGAAGAUUAAUACAAGAUGGCAUCAUGAGUCCGCAUGUUCACAUGAUUAAAGGUAUUCCGGUAGACGAUGGGGAUGCGUUCCAUUAGAUAGUAGGCGGGGUAACGACCCACCUAGUCUUCGAUGGAUAGGGGUUCUGAGAGGAAGGUCCCCCACAUUGGAACUGAGACACGGUCCAA
rnacentral:rRNA from 1 species